rnacentral:rRNA from 1 species
ACAUGCAAGUCGAACGGCAGCACGGGGGCAACCCUGGUGGCGAGUGGCGAACGGGUGAGUAAUACAUCGGAACGUGCCCAGUCGUGGGGGAUAACGUAGCGAAAGCUACGCUAAUACCGCAUACGAUCUAUGGAUGAAAGCGGGGGACCGCAAGGCCUCGCGCGAUUGGAGCGGCCGAUGGCAGAUUAGGUAGUUGGUGGGGUAAAGGCUCACCAAGCCUGCGAUCUGUAGCUGGUCUGAGAGGACGACCAGCCACACUGGGACUGAGACACGGCCCAGACUCCUACGGGAGGCAGCAGUGGGGAAUUUUGGACAAUGGGCGCAAGCCUGAUCCAGCCAUUCCGCGUGCAGGAUGAAGGCCUUCGGGUUGUAAACUGCUUUUGUACGGAACGAAAAGGCUCUUUCUAAUACAGAGGGCUCAUGACGGUACCGUAAGAAUAAGCACCGGCUAACUACGUGCCAGCAGCCGCGGUAAUACGUAGGGUGCAAGCGUUAAUCGGAAUUACUGGGCGUAAAGCGUGCGCAGGCGGUGAUGUAAGACAGAUGUGAAAUCCCCGGGCUCAACCUGGGAACUGCAUUUGUGACUGCAUCGCUGGAGUGCGGCAGAGGGGGAUGGAAUUCCGCGUGUAGCAGUGAAAUGCGUAGAUAUGCGGAGGAACACCGAUGGCGAAGGCAAUCCCCUGGGCCUGCACUGACGCUCAUGCACGAAAGCGUGGGGAGCAAACAGGAUUAGAUACCCUGGUAGUCCACGCCCUAAACGAUGUCAACUGGUUGUUGGGUCUUCACUGACUCAGUAACGAAGCUAACGCGUGAAGUUGACCGCCUGGGGAGUACGGCCGCAAGGUUGAGACUCAAAGGAAUUGACGGGGACCCGCACAAGCGGUGGAUGAUGUGGUUUAAUUCGAUGCAACGCGAAAAACCUUACCCACCUUUGACAUGUACGGAAUUUGCCAGAGAUGGCUUAGUGCUCGAAAGAGAACCGUAACAC